CCGAGUUAUCCCAACUCCCAAACCCACUGUGAACCUUACCUGUACGUUGCUUCGGCGGGGUCGCCCCGGGCCGCUCGAGCCCGGAACCAGGCGCCCGCCGGAGGCCCCAAAACUCUCCAUGUUUUACCUAUAGCGGAAUGCUUCUGAGUGGCCCUCCGGGGCGAAAACAAAAAAAAAAAUGAAUCA
rnacentral:misc_RNA from 1 species